CUCAGUAACACGUGGAUAAUCUGCCCUAUGGUGGAGGAUAACCCCGGGAAACUGGGGAUAAUACUCCAUAAGUCAGGAGUACUGGAAUGUCUCCUAACUGAAAGUUUCGGCGCCAUAGGAUGAAUCUGCGGCCGAUUAGGUAGUUGUUGGGGUAACGGCCCAACAAGCCCGUAAUCGGUACGGGUUGUGGGAGCAAGAGCCCGGAGAUGGAAUCUGAGACACGAUUCCAGGCCCUACGGGGCGCAGCAGGCGCGAAAACUUUACAAUGCAGGAAACUGUGAUAAGGGAACCCCGAGUGCCCGUACACGCGGGCUGUCCCGGUGUUUAAAACACAUCGGAAGAAAGGGCCGGGCAAGACCGGUGCCAGCCGCCGCGGUAAUACCGGCGGCUCGAGUGGUGACCACUUUUAUUGGGCUUAAAGCGUUCGUAGCUUGAUUUUUAAGUCUCUUGGGAAAUCUCACGGCUUAACUGUGAGGCGUCUAAGAGAUACUGGGAAUCUAGGGACCGGGAGAGGUAAGAGGUACUUCAGGGGUAGAAGUGAAAUUCUGUAAUCCUUGAGGGACCACCGAUGGCGAAGGCAUCUUACCAGAACGGCUUCGACAGUGAGGAACGAAAGCUGGGGGAGCGAACGGGAUUAGAUACCCCGGUAGUCCCAGCCGUAAACUAUGCGCGUUAGGUGUGCCUGUAACUACGAGUUACCGGGGUGCCGAAGUGAAAACGUGAAACGUGCCGCCUGGGAAGUACGGUCGCAAGGCUGAAACUUAAAGGAAUUGGCGGGGGAGCACCACAACGGGUGGAGCCUGCGGUUUAAUUGGACUCAACGCCGGGCAGCUCACCGGAUAGGACAGCGGAAUGAUAGCCGGGCUGAAGACCUUGCUUGACCAGCUGAGAGGAGGUGCAUGGCCGUCGUCAGUUCGUACUGUGAAGCAUCCUGUUUAGUCAGGCAACGAGCGAGACCCACGCCAACAGUUGCUAGCAUGUUCUCCGGAAUGAUGAGGACACUGUUGGGACCGCCUCUGCUAAAGAGGAAAAAGGAGUGGACGACGGU
rnacentral:rRNA from 1 species